CCUACGGGGGGCUGCAGUGGGGAAUAUUGGGCAAUGGGCGCAAGCCUGACCCAGCAACGCCGCGUGAAGGAAGAAGGCUUUCGGGUUGUAAACUUCUUUUGUCAGGGACGAAGCAAGUGACGGUACCUGAAGAAUAAGCCACGGCUAACUACGUGCCAGCCGCGGCGGUAAUACGGAGGGGGCAAGCGUUAUCCGGAUUUACUGGGUGUAAAGGGGGUGUAGGCGGGGAAGCAAGUCAGAUGUGAAAACCACGGGCUCAACCUGUGGCCUGCGUUUGAAACUGUUUUGCUUGAGUGCUGGAGAGGUAAGCGGAAUUCCGAGUGUAGCGGUGAAAUGCGUAGAUAUAAGGAGGAACACCAGUGGCGAAGGCGGAUUGCUGGACAGUAACUGACGCUGAGGCGCGAAAGCGUGGGGAGCAAACAGGAUUAGAUACCCGUGUAGUC
rnacentral:rRNA from 1 species